rnacentral:rRNA from 1 species
CCUACGGGUGGCAGCAGUGGGGAAUUUUGGACAAUGGGCGCAAGCCUGAUCCAGCCAUUCCGCGUGCAGGAUGAAGGCCCUCGGGUUGUAAACUGCUUUUUCACGAGUCGCGGUACCGUAAGAAUAAGCACCGGCUAACUACGUGCCAGCAGCCGCGGUAAUACGUAGGGUGCAAGCGUUAAUAGGAAUUACUGGGCGUAAAGCGUGCGCAGGCGGUGAGGUAAGACAGGUGUGAAAUCCCCGGGCUUAACCUGGGAACUGCAUUUGUGACUGCAUCGCUGGAGUGCGGCAGAGGGGGAUGGAAUUCCGCGUGUAGCAGUGAAAUGCGUAGAUAUGCGGAGGAACACCGAUGGCGAAGGCAAUCCCCUGGGCCUGACUGACGCUCAUGCACGAAAGCGUGGGGAGCAAACAGGAUUAGAUACCCUAGUAGUC